GCUGUCAGCUCAGCAGAGGACUGUCACUCAGUCCAGGGUGUACAGCUGCUGGGUUGAGCUGGUGUGUGUGUGUGUGUGCAUGUGCACGUGGGUGCAUGCGCAUGUGCACGUGUGUGAAUGUGUAUGUGUGAAUAUCUGUUUGCUGGAGGCAUGAAGAAGCACUUAGCUGGGAGAACACUGUUUCUCUGAAGCCAGAAAAUAUUUUUUUUCCCUCAGCACAUUAAAGCAUGCCGUUAUGCUAAGAAAAAAUGACUGCAAAAUUAUAUCUUGAGGGUUUCCAUAUUUAUCCACCCCCCUGGACGAUGAGUCAAAACAAGACUUAUUUGUAUAGUUCAUUUUAAACUGCCAGCACUUCAAGUUCAGCUUGGAAUGUGGGGGAAAAAAAUCAAACUGCUAUUUUUUGCUCCCUGCUGUACAUUGUCACGAAGGACAAAGAUCACAGACUGAGAUUUUGCCUGCAACCAGGAAGGGAGAGAGAAGUGGACCAGAACCUCUAUGGUUGAAGAAUCGUUCUGCUUUGAGGCUGGAGCAAGGAGGUCUGGAAAAGCGACAAAUUCACCUAUGCAUUAGCAGAUGUAGCAUGGGGCACGUGAAGACAAGCAGAAUGUCCCAGGGUUCUAGCUGUGCCUCCCAAGCUGUGGGUGCCGUUGGACAAGUCACUUCCUCUCUUUGUUCUCUAAAGUGAGGUGCACGCACGUGCACGAGCAUCUGUAUCUGUGUAUGUGUGCUGUUUGUCAAGCUCAGAGAUGUUGAUCUAUAUGGAUUCACCUUUCCAUCCAUUUCUUUUUUACUUCCUCAAUAUAUAGGCCUUACUUAUAUGGUUCUAACUGGAUGAUUAAAAAACAAAAACUAAAUAUGAAGUUCAAUAAGCAGAAUAGACAUUGGAGAUUUACAGCCUGGACCUGGGAGACACGCCAGCCUACACACAUUUCUGUAUCUAGGUCUGUGUCCUCUGCCUGAUGAAGACUCUCAGGGACCUUCAAUGUCUAGUUUGUCAUGGUCUUAAUGUGGCAUGUGGCAUGCCCAACAGGUUUCUUCUCCAAAUUGGAAUAGUUAGGUCCAUUCUCCCAGGGGUGGUAAGCUAGCAAGUGGGCCGGGGAUGCAGAGGCGGCAGGAAGGACGGAUGCCUUUGACUUCCUGAGUCUCACAGUCCAGCCAUCAUGGACUAUGGCUCGGC
rnacentral:lncRNA from 1 species